GUGUAUGGUGGGUAGUUUGACUGGGGCGGUCUCCUCCUAAAGAGUAACGGAGGAGCUCGAAGGUACGCUCAGCGCGGUCGGACAUCGCGCACUGUGUGCAAAGGCAUAAGCGUGCUUGACUGCAAGAUCGACGGAUCAAGCAGGUAGGAAACUAGGACUUAGUGAUCCGGUGGUUCUGUAUGGAAGGGCCAUCGCUCAACGGAUAAAAGGUACUCCGGGGAUAACAGGCUGAUACCGCCCAAGAGUUCAUAUCGACGGCGGUGUUUGGCACCUCGAUGUCGGCUCAUCACAUCCUGGGGCUGUAGUCGGUCCCAAGGGUAUGGCUGUUCGCCAUUUAAAGUGGUACGCGAGCUGGGUUCAGAACGUCGUGAGACAGUUCGGUCCCUAUCUGCCAUGGGCGUUGGAGAUUUGAGAGGGGCUGCUCCUAGUACGAGAGGACCGGAGUGGACGAACCUCUGGUGUUCCGGUUGUCACGCCAGUGGCAUUGCCGGGUAGCUAUGUUCGGAAGCGAUAACCGCUGAAAGCAUCUAAGCGGGAAGCGCGCCUCAAGAUGAGAUCUCCCGGGGCACAAGCCCCCUGAAGGAACCAUGUAGACUACGUGGUUGAUAGGUCAGGUGUGUAAGUACAGCAAUGUAUUGAGCUAACUGAUACUAAUGAUCCGUGCGGCUUGACCAUAUAACCUCA
rnacentral:rRNA from 1 species